rnacentral:lncRNA from 1 species
GGGAGGGAAGCAAGGGACAGCCCAGAGGGCACUGUAAGGGAGGAGGGGGGGACCAUUGGGACCGCCCCCUUUGACCAAGCCCAGCCACUUCUCGGCUGCUUGCAACCCCCUAGCACAGAAACAGUUGCAGAAUCGCAGACUCGUUUCCCCCAGAAAAUAGGAGGAAAGGGACUUUGGCGGGUGGGGAAGGGGUAGUGGUGUUUUAAAAGCAUAAGUUACCUGUUUGCACUGUUUUAAGAUAGGAAAAAAAAAUAGUGGGCAAGGUGAACAUCCAACGUAAAUUUGUGUGUUUUUAUUUUGUCAUGCUCUUGAAAAUGUUUGACCGUUUGUAGUAUCCACCAGUGAAACCUGAUUCUCUGUUGCAUAAAACACGAUUUUUUUGGAAAUGUUACUGUCCGAAAGCCUCUUCCCUCCCUUUCCCCUUUGCUGUGUUCUUCCUUCAUCCUCACUUGACUGAUCAACCAGGCAAUAGCCAUCCAGGAGCUAGAGUGUGAAGCAGGGCCCUUCCCAAGUAGACUCUGGGUGUCCUAAGCCAGCAUGUGCCCUCUGGUUUAGCGAGUGCCGUUGAGUCCCUGGCCCCCAUCUUUAAAAUAAGGCUCACAGACCAGGCUGCAGCAGGUUCUCAAAUUCCCGAAUCAGAUGCACUAGGGAGGAGGAGCCAAGGGGCGGAGGGGAGUCCUCGAAUAUGGCGGGUGGCCGCAGUAGCUGAGUUCUCCACGUUACCGGAACUGUAGCCAGUUACAGAUUACUCAGGAAAACGGUCGAUCACUUCAGCCAUGGUAGUGCUGGUUGGCAGGGCUUGGUAACGGAGAGAACUGCUCAUCGGCCACAACUCAAACCUUGCCUUUAAGGGGAUUGCCAGCCGGGGCCCCUCCGCCUGGCAGUGACACACGCACCUGCCAGUGUGGUGAGGGCUCAGCUCACACCAGCCAGCAAAAAGGGAACAGCGAUGCUCUUCUCUCCCCCCUACCACCCGCCCCUGUUACCAACGCCAGAUUCCCAGGGGGUGCGUACGUUUUUGAAUUUUUUAAAAAUGUUUUUUGGUUUGGUUUUUCCGGGGACUGAUGAGUGCUUUAAGCAACGUCGAUACCCCACCCAGACCCUGAGCUUUGUCAUUUUCUUGUAUUUUUCUGUUCACAGUAUUGUGUGUGUGUGUGUGCUUGUCUUGGCAGCUCAUUUUGGCUGUAUUAUAUAUCGAGUGAUGAAUUGAUCCUCCUUUUUUUUUUUUUCCCCCUAAGGGAUAUGAAUUGUUUUUUUCUUGUGUUAUAAUUCUGCUUGUGAAUAGCUGGAGCAAACCUGGGGCUGACACACGUAAGCUAGGGCUGCAAAGUGCUGAGAGAGCCGGGCAGGGUGGCUUGUCCCUGACAGGCUGACCCACCUGAGUCUCUGAGCUUUUCAGUCCAAAUCUCUGCAAGGCUAAAAAUGCCACCGAACCUCCCCUCUUGUCCCCGCUCCCCGUGGCAGGGACGAAACCAUCCCUACAUGCAACGUGCAGUUUCUCCGGCCCCCUCCCAUUGCCAUGGCAAAACAGGUACCUAUGGGGCAUGGGGGCAUCACAUGGGAUGCUUGUAUAAUCGACCACCUCACCUUUUCUCCCCCCUCCGCACCACCCCCCCCCACCCCCGAAUCUCUUCCUAGGACACCCGAGCUGCUUGCCCAGGGUCCUGUUUCCCUACAAACUCCAGAGAAGCACCCAGGGCUUUGUGACAGUCUCUAAUUCCCUCCCCUUCUUGUUAAGAAUCAUAUUGUAUAGUAGCUUUCAGACCAUACAGUAUUCAUUGGGUUACUCCUAUUAUUAUCAAGUAGCUGGAAUUGUGAAGGUCGGAGUAGUUAGAUCUUUAGCUUUUAUUCCUUAUUUUUUUGUAUUACUAUCCAUGUGUAUAAAUUAUUGAUCAUGUUGCUGGCUUUUAUAAACUCUAAGCGAAGGAGGAGCACUGCCUCUGCCUUUGCAAAUGGUAAUGAAGCACUGUUUUUAAAUAAAAGGAGAAA